AGACACAGCACAAGCGAUGCAAAGCGCUCGCUUUCAAAUCGUGUGGUACUUUGUGAAGAAACCAUAACCAAUGGCUGCUCCUGGGCCAUACAGCACAGUCAGAAAUGCCCACCAGGUUGCUUGUGCUGCUGCUGUUCCUUCUGCAGGUGGACCAGGAGUCUCCAGGGCUGUGCCGAUGCAGUGCAUAACACCACUUAAGAUGUUUGUGAAAAGAGAAGGGAAAGAGCUGGCAGUGACUGAAAUACAAAACAAUUGCCCUCCAGGAUGCACAGUGCUCGAGGCAACGUGAGGAGAUGGUGCUAAUCUCCUGCGAAGGCUGCAAUGCACUGCAAUUACAUCAUUUGCUCAUUACAAGUUUUAACCGGAGGAAUAAAAAGAGAAUGGCGUGAAUUCUGAGUCAGAGGAGGUUAUGCUGAAAUACGGAGAAAAGUAAGUGAAAUAUUCCUUUUUCUUCUGUACCUCUAUA